ACGCGUUGAACCUUACCAGGUCUUGACAUCCCGCUGACCGUCCUGGAGACAGGAUUUUCCCUUCGGGGACAGCGGUGACAGGUGGUGCAUGGUUGUCGUCAGCUCGUGUCGUGAGAUGUUGGGUUAAGUCCCGCAACGAGCGCAACCCUUGAUCUUAGUUGCCAGCAUUUAGUUGGGCACUUUAAGGUGACUGCCGGUGACAAACCGGAGGAAGGUGGGGAUGACGUCAAAUCAUCAUGCCCCUUAUGACCUGGGCUACACACGUGCUACAAUGGAUGGUACAAAGGGCAGCAAAACCGCGAGGUCGAGCCAAUCCCAUAAAACCAUUCUCAGUUCGGAUUGUAGGCUGCAACUCGCCUACAUGAAGCUGGAAUCGCUAGUAAUCGCGGAUCAGCAUGCCGCGGUGAAUACGUUCCCGGGCCUUGUACACACCGCCCGU
rnacentral:rRNA from 1 species